rnacentral:sRNA from 1 species
CUGGCAUCAGUUACUGUGUUGACUCACUCAGUGUUGGGAUCACUCACUUUCCCCCUACAGGACUCAGAUCUGGGAGGCAAUUACCUUCAGAGAAAAACGAAUAGGAAAAACUGAAGUGUUACUUUUUUUAAAGCUGCUGAAGUUUGUUGGUUUCUCAUUGUUUUUAAGCCUACUGGAGCAAUAAAGUUUGAAGAACUUUUACCAGGUUUUUUUUAUCGCUGCCUUGAUAUACACUUUUCAAAAUGCUUUGGUGGGAAGAAGUAGAGGACUGUUAUGAAAGAGAAGAUGUUCAAAAGAAAACAUUCACAAAAUGGGUAAAUGCACAAUUUUCUAAGGCGAUUUGACAGAUCUGUUGAGAAAUGGCGGCGUUUUCAUUAUGAUAUAAAGAUAUUUAAUCAGUGGCUAACAGAAGCUGAACAGUUUCUCAGAAAGACACAAAUUCCUGAGAAUUGGGAACAUGCUAAAUACAAAUGGUAUCUUAAGGAACUCCAGGAUGGCAUUGGGCAGCGGCAAACUGUUGUCAGAGCAUUGAAUGCAACUGGGGAAGAAAUAAUUCAGCAAUCCUCAAAAACAGAUGCCAGUAUUCUACAGGAAAAAUUGGGAAGCCUGAAUCUGCGGUGGCAGGAGGUCUGCAAACAGCUGUCAGACAGAAAAAAGAGGCUAGAAGAACAAAAGAAUAUCUUGUCAGAAUUUCAAAGAGAUUUAAAUGAAUUUGUUUUAUGGUUGGAGGAAGCAGAUAACAUUGCUAGUAUCCCACUUGAACCUGGAAAU